rnacentral:lncRNA from 1 species
CUGCACCACAUAUCACUUCCACCUCCUCCGUCUCCUACUCUCCAUUACCCAUCCCCCCUUCCACCCUCCAUUCCAAUCAUCACCAUCCACAUCCACAACUCUCUGCACGCCAAAAUGUAAUUCUCCAAUAAAUAUAACCAUAGCACCACCUCGUCCCUAAAUCUGUUCAGAAUCUAGUGAUUACCGUAUCUCUCUCCAUGGUGCACAUCUUAACCAUGUAGUCUCCACUACUUUACUACACAACAGAGUUCUGAAAAAAUCAAGUGGUAUCGGACAUUCCAAUUCCUACGCAACCAAAAUAAACACAGAAGACCGCCUCCUACCCACUGCUUCCUCUAACUCUCGGCCCUCCCCCUCCUCCCCUACCCCUUCUCCUACACCACACCUACUGGCAGGUCACUCCAUUCCCAUCCGACCACUCGAUCGGCUCCUCGCCGCCUGUGGCUCCACAUUUCUGGACCAUGGUCAUGCAGCCAAAAUCCUGCCGCCUUUACUUUAACACUAGGUCGACACGCCUGCGCCCAUCCCAACACAAUCCCAUCGUCAGCCCCGCAACACAAAUCCCGCCACAAAUCACCCUCCCACCACCACUUCCUUCACGCAUCGCACGCACCUACUACCCGCCCCACAUCUCUACCCAUCAUGCGCUACCUCGACACCGCUCUUACCACUACUCUCCACCAUCUAAGCACCCCCUCCCCUCCCCCCGCACCCUCCGACCCCCCAUCAACAUCCAUGCUGGUAAUAUUUGCGANNNNNNNNNNNNNNNNNNNNNNNNNNNNNNNNNNNNNNNNNNNNNNNNNNNNNNNNNNNNNNNNNNNNNNNNNNNNNNNNNNNNNNNNNNNNNNNNNNNNCGCCUCGCCCCACCGGCGUCGGCCCGUACCGGCUGUCCCCGCGCCCCCCGUAUCCGCUCCCUCCUCCCGGACUCCCACCCCCGUAUCCUCCCUGGCUGUACCCCGAUCCGUAGUUGCCCCCGCCGCGACCGCCUCCGCCGAACCCCCCGCCAGCCCGCCCCGACCCCGCCGACAGCUCCUUCGGAAUCGCCUUCUUCACCUCCACCAUCUUGUCGUUCAGCUCGUGGAACGACUUCUGGAUCACGUUCUCAACUGCAUCCUCAGAAUCAAAAGUGAUGAAGCCAAACCCCCGAGGCCUUUGCGUAUUGUGGUCAUACAUAACAACCACGUCUGUAAUAGUACCAAACUGCUCGAAAUACUUUUUGAAGUCAUCCUCUGUAACUGUCGAGGCUAAGCCCCCCACAAAUAUCUUCUUUGUCCUAGUGUGGGAUGUUGCAGGCCCUUGGCCACCCACGCUGUUGCUCCUAGGUAUACUCUGCUGUUCGUCUCUCGGCACAGCUUUUUUCGCUUCCACCUAGAAUGGGAAAAAAAAAUAUUUAACAAAGACACGCUACACAAAGUUAUACAACUGCCACACAACCUCAUGCCACCAACCACCAUCACCACACGCACUCCCGCAUGCCACCCCCCUCCCAUGCAUUCAACUCCACCUCGAUCCCCCUUCGCCCGACACCUACCGCCCCCCUCCCUCCCUCCCACCCUCGCGCCCUACCGCACUGACCUCACCACGCCACCGGCCCUCCCCUCCCCUCCCCGAGUCCAAGACAGAGCGCUUACCGUUCUUCCGUCGAUGGUGUGCUUCUCGCCGGCCACCCGAUCGGCCACGCUCGGGUCCGCGAAUAUCACGAACCCGAACCCCCGCGCGCGCCCCGUCGCGCGGUCCUUCAUGAUCACCGUCUCCGCCACCUCGCCAUAGCUCUUGAAGUAAUCGCGCAGCUUCUCCUCCGUCGUCUCCCAAGAGAUGCCGCCGAUGAACAGCUUGCCCUGAUCGGAGUCCAUGGCCGCCGACCCGUCCUGGUCCGCCAGACUUCCCGCCCUCCUAACUCCCGCUGAAAUGAUCAGAAAAAUCGGACUCCACAAAACCCAUAUGCCCCUCGCAUACACAGAGGCUCAAAUACCCUUACGACAAGAUCAAAACAAGAGCAGCGGCAUCGACAAUUCCCAUGCAACGCGCGAACCAACAGGCCGCGGCGUAGCAGGGGAGGGAGGGAGCGGACGCGAGAGCCUAGGGUUAGCAGGAGACUGGAGCUCCGAGGAGCACUGAUUCAAAGACGGGGAGAGGGAGGGGCAGCCAAGAAGGCAAGAGUCGCGACGGGAAGGGAAGGGGAGGGAAGGCCAGUCCCCCCCCCCCUGGCUUGGGUUUCGCGAACGUCGGGAUCGCAUGAAGAUUUGGGCAGGUUCAUUCAUUGAUUACCAUUUCCUCUUACGGGGCAUUCACGCAAUUCUUUGUGCUCUCGGGGCAAUUGUGAAGCACAAUCGCCCUUGAUCACGAAUUUCGCUCUGUCUGUCUAGUUAUGUUCUUUCUGGUAUUCCUUUUUGGGUGUUGGAGAGUAACGGCAUUUUGCAAAAAAAUUCAACAUUCAUAACAUUUCAUGGAACCAUUGUGGGUUUGCUUUUAUUAUAACUAGAGGAAUAAUAUCUUUAUUUCUUUGUCUACCAAGCUUAUUAAAUUACAAAGGAAUCACUAUAUAUAUAUAUAUAUAUAUAUAUCUCCAUUAAUUUUAUGUAUCAAAUAAAUUUAAACAAAGUAUUUUUGUAAAAAAUUAUACAAUUUUCUACAAUAUAGAUGGUAUGAUCAUUAAUGGAUUUUUUUCUUUAAAGAUUACAAAUGUUCAAAUUACAUUUUAAUUUUAAAAAAUAAUAUGUAUAUUAAAAUUAAGAUUUUUUAUUUUUAUUUUUUUAAUAUAUAUUUAAGUCUUUUAUAUUAUUUUCAUUAUGAAAAUAUAUAUUAAAUAUCAACAUAUGUUAUUAAAUUUUUGUAAAGAAGAAAUUUAAUAUAGUCAUUUUUGUAUAAAUGUCACAAACAUACAUAUUUAUUCUAAUAAUUACUUAUAUGAUUAAGUAGAAAUAAGUAAAUAUAGAUUAAUUUCAUAAUAUCUUCUAGAAAAGCUUCUUAGAAGCAUCAUAGAUAUGGUUUUGACUUUACAUGUGUUUGUAGUUAAUAGGUAGGUUAGAAAUUUUGUCAACAAGUUAACCACAAGCUAUAUAUACUGGUAGCUUAUGAAACAAGCUUAUUAUAUGGCACACAUAUAGAAAACUUACUUUGUAAGACAUAUGUCUAGCAAAGUCAAUACACAUUGGAGGACUUAUAGAACAUCGUGACAUAACUCUUAGUUAGAUAGUAUAUGUGGAGGUAAGAGUGAAGUCUUGCUUUACUCAUGUCAAAGCCUUUUUAGUUCUUUGUCCUAUUUUUAGACUUUUUAAUCUACUUGUCUUUAGCAAUAGCCAUUCUAGUUCAAUAUAUUACCAUCUUUGAGUGAUUUCCUAGUCUUUUCAAGUAGUACAAGAAUGUAUUGAGAUUCUCUUUCUUUGAGGUUCAUAUUCUUGAUAAUUUGAUAAAAGUGUUAACUUAUUAUUCUUGUCUUGUUUUAGAAAUGAGUAGUUUAUCCGACUUUUAUUAUUGUAUUUAAAAAAUUGUACCUAUAAACAAACCGUUUAGUUUUUUAAUAUUGAUUUUUUUCUUAAAAAAAGUAAUUUUUUUUUAUGGAAUUUUUUAUUUGAUAUUAAAGGUUGCAGAUUACCUUCUUCUAAUUUAACUUUUUGAAUUUGUUUGAGUUAUCUAUAAAAGAAAAAGAUUAUAGAUACAACUAUCAAUAAAAUUGAGAAUAGAUGUGUAUCAUGGACAUAUAUAUUCAUUCUAAUAUUUACUUAUAUGAUUAAGUAAAAAUAGAUAAAAGUAGAAUUAUUUCAUAAUAUUUUUUAGAAAAAGCUUCGUAGAAGCUUAAUGGAUGUUAUUUUCACUUUACAUAGGUUUGUAGUUGAUUGAUAGGUUAGAAACUUGGUCAAUAAGUUAACCUCAUGUUGGUAGCUUCAAAAAUAAGCUAAUUAUGUGGUCCACAUAUAGAAAACUUACCUUGCAAGUUAAGAUACAUAUCUUGCAAAGUUAAUACAUUUUGGAGGUCUUGUAGGACAUUGCCACAUAGCUCUUAGUUAAGAAUAUGUAUGGAAGCAAAAAUAAAGCCUUCUUCACUCUUAUCAAUGCCUUUCUAGUCUUUAGUCUUGUUUCAAGACUUUCUAGUCUUUUUAUCUUUGGCAAUAACCAUUCUAAUUUAAUACUAUAUCAUCUUUGAAUGACUUUCUAAUUCUUUUGAGUGAUAUAAGAGUGUAUUUAAGAUUUCUUUAUUUGAGAUUCAUAUCCUUGAUAGUUUAGCAAGAAUUCUAACUCAUUAUUCUUAUUUUUUUAGAAGUGAGUGGAAUAUCUCACUUCUACUAUUGUAUAUUAAAGGUUGCAGAUUAUCCACCUAUAAAUAAACAAUUUGAUUUUUUAAUACUAAUUUUUUCCUUAAAAAGAGCAGAUUAUCUUUCUUUAUGGAAAUUUUCAUUUUAUAUUAGAGAUUGUAAAUUACCUUCUUCUAAUUUAAUUUUUUAGAUUUAUUAAAUUAUUUAAAAUAGAAGGAAAAAUUAUAAAUGUCAUACUUAGCAGAAGUGAGAAUAUAUUUACAAAUAUUAUACAUCUUCACAAAUUUGUCAAUAUUCUUAGCAUGAAAAUUUUACACAUCACUAGUGCCAACCAAAGAAACAUUAAUCCUAUAUCUAUAAAAGAAGUUCAAAGUCUACAAUAAGAAGUUGUAUAGUUGAAAAAAAUAAGUAAAUUGACCUCACAACCAAGUCUAGAAAGUUUUGUUUCUAUAAGUGCAAUAAAGUCAAGGAUUAGUAUGCUCGAAAAGUUUGAUGGAAUAAGAUCAAAAUUUCACGGAUUUUUGCAAUAAAUCAAGCUCUAUCUAAGGUUGCAUUUCUUCUAAUACCUUAAUGGAUUUAUUCAAGUUGGAUUUAUAGACUCAUUUUUAUUUGGAAGUGCUUUCUUUUGCUUUACACCUUUGAUGAAAAAAGAUUUACAACUCCUUUAUGAUUUCAAUUCAUUCCUAGAAAUGUUUAUCGCCACAUUCAAAGAGAAUAAUUGAGAAAGAGUAGUAGAGACCAAGCUCUUAUUUUUAUGAUAAGAAUAAUAAUUAGCCACUAUAUAUGCUAUUUAAUUCCAAAACCUUGCAUACAACAUGGAUUGGAAUAAUAAAGCCUUUAUUAAUUGAUUUUGAUAUAGAUUGAAGUAAAAUGUCAAAAUUUUGUUAUUAACAAUAUCAAAAAUAAAAUCUUUGGAACAAUUUAUUGCUCAAGCCAUUGCAUAUGACAAUCAAAUAUUUGAAGGGCAUUAAGAAUAAAGAUUUGGUUGGAGAGGAAUAAAUCAAGUACUAACAACAGCUCCUAAGUUUUUUGAAACUUAUUCAUUAAGGCCAAAAUCAAUACAAAUUGAUAAGAUACAUUUUAAAUCUCUUAUUAAACAAAAACAAGACUUGUAGUUGUCAAGAAGGUUUGUAGCUAUAUUAUCAAGCAUACUAUUCAAUAUUAUCAAAAAAAACAACACAAUCAUAAAAUAAAGAGUAUGGUUGCCAAAGAAGAUGAUGUAUCAAAAAAUAAGUUUUUCCAACUAUAAUAAAGACCAUGUGGUUAGAAUCUUACACAAUUGUUAAUAAAUAUCCUAUUCUCUAUUUAAAUUCCUCACUUUAUUUUAAAAUAAAAGUAUUUUUAGGACCAUAAAAUCACAAAGUCUUAACCUUAUUAGAUUUUAGAAUCUUAUCAUGUUCUAUAAAUAAAGACUUUGUCAAAAAAUAAGAUAUAUCUUUAAUUAAGAAAAUCAAACCUAUACAUCUAGAAAUAAUAGAUGGUCGUUCAUUAUCUUUUAGAAAUACUACACAUAAAAUUAUUCCUAUAAAAGUAGCAACUAGUAUUUAUAAUAGUUUAAUAAUAUUUAAUGUCAUUAAAUUUUAUUUUAAUCUAAUUAUUUUAAGAUUAUCAUGAUUAGAUAGGUAUAAUUCUUAGAUAGAUUAAAUUUUUUGGGAUCUUGAUUUUUUCCAAAGUUUAGUUCAAGGUUCUACUAGGCAAGUAAAAAUCCAUAAGAUCAUUGCAUCCAAAUCAUUAUUUCUGAGUGCAAGAACUUUUAUACAUGCUGCAAAAAAAGGUUCAACUUUUGUUAUAUAUACCACACCUAUUUUUGACGGAAAAAAGAUUUUAAGUAGCAUUCCAAGCCAAUAUCAAGAUUAUUAAGAUAUCUUUUAAAAAAAAAAUGUAAAUAUUUUUUCAAAGCAUUAUUCUUAUGACUGUUCUAUUGAUCUUCAAGAAUGAGCUUAACCACCAUUUGAACCAAUCUAUAGCCUAUCAUAGAAUAAAUUAGUUUUGUUUAAGGAAUAUAUUCAUAAAAAUUUGGCUAAGAACUUCAUAUGCUAUUCUAAAUCUCCAAUUAAGUCUUCUAUCUUAUUUAUGAAGAAAAAAGAUAGAUCUCAAUAAAUGUGCAUGGACUAUCAAGGACUCAACAAGAUUACUAUAAAAAAAAUCCUCUAUUCUUGAUUUUAAGACUUCUUAAUUAACUAAAUUAAGCAAAGAUUUAUACAAAAUAGAUUUAUAUGGGGCAUAUAAUCUUGUAUGUAUUAAAAAAAGAGAUAAAUAGAAAAUUAUAUUUUGAAUAGAAUGUCAUAUCUUUUGGAUUCACAAAUGCACUAGUGUCAAGGACAAGAACUCAAUGAAAGCUAAAGAGUAAGUGAGACUUUUCUCAAAAAGAAAUAGGACAAAAUAGAAAUAUGUAUAUUAAGAAAGAAACUGGAAUGGCUAUUGCCAAAAUACAAGAAAACUAGAGACCCUUGAAACUAGACUAGAAGCAAGAAAGGAGUUGACAAGAGUGAAGAGGGCUUCACUCUUGCCUCUAUAUAUACUAUCUAACUAGAAGCCACGUGGCGAUGUUCUAUAAGACCUCCAAUAUAUGUUGACUUUCUAGGCCACAUGCCUUUGCUUGCAAGGCAAGUUUUCUAUGGAUGGACGACGUAGUUAGCUUGUUCUUUAAGCUUCCAACAUGUGUGGCACAUGGCUAACUUGUUGACCAAGUUUCUAACCUAAAAGUCAACUAUAGACUCCUAUAAAGUCAAAGCAGAGUCUAUGAAGCUUCUAAGAAGCUUCUCUAGAAGAUAUUAUACAAUUAACCUACUUUUAUCUACUUUUACAUACUUUUAUCUAUUCAUAUAGGUAAUUAUAUGUAUGUCCGUGACAUUACCCCCCCUUCUAGGGACGAGUUCCACGAGGAGCGGUGAUUAUAUAUUGAGAAAAUCUAAUAUGCGACGAAUUGUAUUUGCUACAUACUCUGAUCUUUGUUCUCUUCGAAGAUAGUUGAUGGGUCCUCUUAGCCAUCGAUAGUGUCCCAUUCCAGGGCGAGAAGACCACCCUGUUAUUUGAUCACUGUUGAGGCCUUCAUAACUUCCUUCAAAUAAUACAUUUGAAACACCAUCAGGAGUCGUUUCUAUCUCCAAUAAAAUCACCAAACAUCGAAAAUCUCUUCCAAGGUCGUGAUACCAAACGCGUUGUAUCUCACCAUCUAUUCGAGGAAGAACAUGUCGUUCUUGAGGGUCUUCAUCUCGGUUGCGUCGUCUUGAAGGUUGUGACAAUCGCAAUGUCUCAUCCGGUAAGUCAGCAAACGAAGGUUCUUGAGUUGAAUCCGCUUGUUGUUGGCUCUCCAUCUAAUUAGCGUCACAAAAUGCAAAGAAGUUACAAACAAGGAUAGGAAAUUGAAUGUUAUCUUGCCUCAAUCUUGUCUCUUUUAUAAGAGAGGUUUUCAUCUUGGUUUUGAUGGAUGUCGUUGAUGAAAAACUUUGACUUUAGUUGAUGCAUUUGCUAGAUUCCUGGAUGGCUCCCAUGUGCGCUCACUAAUAUCAUAUCCGCACCAAUGAACAAGAUAUUCCAGCUUAUUUCGGCGUCGCCUUGAGUCUAAUAUCUCUUCCACCUCAAAUUCUUCAUUAUUAUCUACUUCUAUAGGAGGCGGUGGCAUUUGUCUUCUUCCUUGUAUAUCCACUGUCUUAUAUGGUUCAAGAAGAGACACGUGGAAUACAGGAUGGAUCUUCAUUGACUCCGGUAGAUGUAACCGAUAUGCAACUGGGUUGAUCUGUUCAGAAACAAAAAAGGGGCCAAGCCUACGAUAGUCCAAUUUGUCACAAGGUCGAGUGGUCUUGAUAUUGCGACGAAGUAGCCAUACCUUAUCACCCACGUUGAGUUGUGGUUGCUCUUUACGAUAUACAUCUGCAUUUAUCUUUUGUCGUUCUUGAGCUUUCUUCAACUGCGCCUUCAUUAUUGCAUGUAACUCUGACAACCGAUUUGCCAUAUCUUCUGCUGCAGGAUUAUCAACUUUUGAAAAAUCAAAAGUAUCAAGUCGUGGAUGAUAGCCAUAAUUGGCAAAGAAAGGUGUUUGUUGCGUGGAGGAAUGUACCGUAUUAUUAUAAGCAAACUCUGCCAAUGGCAGAAGGUUUGUCCAAUCAUCUUGUUGGUAGUUGAUGGUACACCUUAAAUAUUGCUCCAAGACUUGGUUUACGCGCUCUGUUUGUCCAUCAGUUUGAGGAUGGAAAGCUGAAGAUAGCUUUAUGUCCACUUUUAAAAUCUUGAAAAGAGUCCUCCAGAAUCUCGACACAAAUUGAGUUCCCCUAUCCGAUAUGAUAUCUUUAGGUAAUCCAUGAUAGCGAUAGAUAUUAUCAAUGAAAAGCUUAGCUGUUUCUUCACCUGUGAUAGAUUUUGUACAUGGCAUAAAAUGUGCCAUCUUGGUGAAACGAUCUACUAUCACAAAUAUAGAAUCAUAAGAUCUUGAGUUUGGAAGAUCUGUGAUGAAAUCCAUAGAAACAGAAGACCAUGGUUGUUCUGGUAUAGGUAAUGGCUGAAGAAGUCCGUAAGGUCGAUGUCGAGGAAUUUUUGAUCUUGAACAAAUAUCACAUGAUUGUACAAAGUCUUUGACUGACUUCCACAUUUGUGGCCACCAAAAAUCUCUUGAUAUGAGUUCCAGAGUCUUAUUAUAUCCAAAGUGCCCUGCUGCUGGAAAGUCAUGACGUGCUUGAAGAACACGCAAACGUGCUUUUCCUUCUGGAACAUAUAGGCGUCCUUCAAAAUAUAAUAGAUUAUUCUUGAACUCGAACUUAGAAGAAUCAUGAGACUUGGAAGAAUUAUUCUCGAUAUCAUGAACAAGAGGGUCUGAGGACAUACUGGACUGGAUUUGCUUGAGAAAAGUUGAAUCAACAGUCAAUGUUGAUUUCACUGCUCGGAGAUGAAAUUGCUCUGGUUUCAAGAGGACCGUUCUUUGUUGCUCAAAAGCUGCAUCUCCUUCUUUUGGUGCAAAAUAAGAACGUCUAGACAGGGCAUCAGACAAACCUUGUUGUUUUCCUGGCCGAUAAGUGAUAAUGAAGUCGAAUCUUGACAAAGACAUACUCCAACGAGCUUGACGACGAUUCAACACGGGUGCUGACAUGAAAUACUCGAGGUUCUUGUGAUCUGUAUACACAGUGAUUGGACUAGAAGCACCUUCUAAAUAAUGACGCCAUUCUUGAAAGGAAUCCACGAUUGCAAGAAGUUCUUUAUCGUGGAUCUCAUAAUUGAUCUCGGCUGCUGAGAAUUUUCUUGAAUGAAAAGCUAUCGGAUGAAGUUUGUCAUCUGUUCCCAUUUGUGAUAAAACUGCACCCAAGGCAAAAUCCGAUGCGUCUGUUUCCAUAAAAAAUACCUUGGAAAAGUCAACACGAUAUAAGACUGGUGCAGAGACAAACGAUGUCUUCAAGGCUUCAAAUGCUGCUUCCGCUUCUUGAUUCCAUUGGAAUUUAUCUUUACUAGUCAAGCGUGUAAGUGGAGCUGCAACUCGUGAGAAGUCUUUGAUGAAGAUCCGAUAGUAAUUGGCAAAUCCCAAGAAACAUUGGACAUCUCUUACAGUCUUUGGAAUCUUCCAAUCCAUGAUUGUUUGGACUUUCUUAGAAUCCAUCAUAAGACCAUCAUUUGAAAUGAUGUAUCCUAAAAAGUCAACUUGAGUAGUGUGAAAUACACACUUUUCCAUCUUGGCGUACAAUCCUGCAUCUCUGAGUUUUUGUAAUACUUGACGAACAUGUAUUUCAUGUUCUUCAACAUUCUUAGAAUAAAUCAGGAUAUCGUCUAGGUAGCAGACGACAAAAUUGUCUAAGAAUUCACGAAAUACAUCAUUCAUGAGAUGUUGAAAAGCAGCUGGUGCAUUCGUGAGUCCAAAAGGCAUGACAUUAUAUUCAAAAUGCCAGUACCUGGUUCGAAACGCAGUCUUCCAUUCAUCUCCUUCUUUGAUCCGUACUAGAUUAUAUGCUCCUCUUAGAUCUAUUUUUGUAUAGAUCUUAGCUUGAUUUAACUGGUCAAGGAGUCCUGAUAUCAAAGGUAAUGGAUACCUGUUCUUGAUUGUGAUCUUGUUGAGUCCUCGAUAGUCAACACACAUUCGUAAAGAUCCAUCUUUUUUCUUUACGAAUAAAAUUGGAGCUCCUGCUGGAGAUUUUGAAUGGCGUAUGAAAUUCUUCGCUAAAUUCUCGUCAAUAUAUGUCUUGAGUUCAGCCAACUCAUCUUGCGAUAAACUGUAAAUUGGUCCAAAUGGUGGCUGAGUUCCUUCCUUGAGAUCGAUUGAACAAUCGUAUGGGCGAUGCUCAGGAAGAAUAUCUGCAUUCUUUUUCUCAAAAACGUCUUGAUAAUCCUGAUAUUGACUUGGAAUGCCACUUGAAGUCUUUACGUUUUCAGAAAUAGGUGCAGCAUAAAUAGCAAAAGUUGAUCCUUCUUUUGCUGCGUGUAUAAAUGCUUUUGCACCUAUAGGUGCGAGUUUUACUAUACUAGACUCAUGGUUUUUUACUUGGUUAAUAGAACUGUUACUAAUGCUCUGAGGAAAAUCAAGUUUACGCGAAAUCCAAUCUAUUCGAGGAUUAUACUUUUCUAACCAUGAUAAGCCUAAAAUUACUGGAUUAGAGGGAGAUCUAAUUAUAUUAAAAAUUACGCAACUACUAUGACCAUUUAUUACUACAUCUACAGGAAGUGUUUCGUGAGUUACAUCUCCAGAAGACAACGGACGACCAUCUAUGACUUCUACGUGUACAGGUUUAGUUUUUUGUAUUAAUGAUAUUCUAUGACAUCUAGCAAAUUCUUCAUCUAAAAAACAAGAUGAGGCUCUUGAAUCUACCAAGGCAGAGGCUUUGUAAUUAUUAGGUCCUAAACGCACAUCUAUUAUAAAACAAGGAGAUGGUUCUGAGGAGAGGAUAGGACCUUCAUUAGAAGUUGUACAAGAUUCCAGCCGCACGGUCCCUAUUGUAGCUGGACGUACUCGUUUUCCGACAUACUGUCUUCUUUGACAGCCGUACUCCUCAUUUUGUAGUUACGUCGCUUCUUUGGACAAUGUUGAGCAGUGUGCUUAGGUUCUCCACUAUAUAAGCACAAUCCUUCUUGUCGACGACGAGACUUUUCUUGCUCAGUAAGAGGUUUGAAACGUACCGCAUCAAUUUGCAUAUCCUCUACUUCUGAAGGUAUGUGUUGAGGAGACGUCGGUGUUGCCAUUGAAUUGUAGUAACGUUGAGGCCCACUUGUGCGACUCUCGGAUCAAAAUUCAAAAAGUCGAUUGUCGCACUUCACAGCAAAGUCAAUUGCUUGACUCAAUGUUUGAGGAUCAGGUAAAUUAAGCAUCAAUUUCUUUACCUCAUAUUGUAAUCCGUAGAGAAAUUGACUCACAAGUGCGGCAUCAUCCCACUUGAUAUCAGUUGCAAGUUGUCGAAAUUGCGAAGCAUAUAAUGUUACUGAUCGAUUGCCUUGUCGCAAAAUACGGAUCUUGUUGGUUGCAACACGAAUUGCAUCAUGUUCUCCAAACAUGGAUCGAAACUCCGCCAAAAAAGCCUCCAGAUUAUCCAAUAUUGGAUCUCGUCGUUCAAGAAAAGAUGAAAACCAUGACAAUGCUGAACCUGAAAGAAGUGUACCAAUGAAUCUAACUUGUGACCCUAGAGUUGGAUAGCUCUGGGGUUGAAGUUCAAUCACUAGUUGGACCUGAUUGAUGAAUCCUCGAAACUUGGAUCUGGUACCAUCAAACUUCUCGGGCAAGGCAACUCUCGGUUCUCUAACACUCGAACGGUGUUCCAUUCUGGGAGAAGGGACAUGGUUUGGUGCAGAUGUUGAAGCAGCCCCAAUCAUCUCUAUAUCUUCACUUCCUACCAUUCUUGUUGCUCCUUGUGGUGGAAAAUUGAGUUGAUGCAUCGCAAGCAUUAACUCCCUCAAUUGUUCUUGCAUCUGUGCCAUUGCACUCUUCAUUUCAACAAGCUCUGCCAUAGUAGCACUUAGAAAAGAGAAGAUGUCUAAUAACGCUCAAAACAAAUAGAAGAGAGGAAUUGAUAACAAAGAAAAUACUAAGAACAAUAUCAGUUUAAAAGAGGGUAAUCCGCAACUUCUAAUGCGCUUAUGUCUUAUCAAAAAAAAGGGGUAAUCCACUCUUAAUCAAGAAAAGACAAAGCUCUGAUAUUGUAAGUGCACUCUUGUCAAUUUGUCAAGGACAAGAACUCGAUGAAAGCUAAAGAGUAAGUGAGACUUUUCUCAAAAAGAAAUAGGACAAAAUAGAAAUAUGUAUAUUAAGAAAGAAACUGGAAUGGCUAUUGCCAAAAUACAAGAAAACUAGAGACCCUUGAAACUAGACUAGAAGCAAGAAAGGAGUUGACAAGAGUGAAGAGGGCUUCACUCUUGCCUCUAUAUAUACUAUCUAACUAGAAGCCACGUGGCGAUGUUCUAUAAGACCUCCAAUAUAUGUUGACUUUCUAGGCCACAUGCCUUUGCUUGCAAGGCAAGUUUUCUAUGGAUGGACCACGUAGUUAGCUUGUUCUUUAAGCUUCCAACAUGUGUGGCACAUGGCUAACUUGUUGACCAAGUUUCUAACCUAAAAGUCAACUAUAGACUCCUAUAAAGUCAAAGCAGCGUCUAUGAAGCUUCUAAGAAGCUUCUCUAGAAGAUAUUACACAAUUAACCUACUUUUAUCUACUUUUACAUACUUUUAUCUAUUCAUAUAGGUAAUUAUAUGUAUGUCCGUGACAACUAGCUACUUUUCAACAUCUAACAAAUGAUGUCAUUUAUGAAUUCUUUGAUGAUUUUAUCAUCUAAUAUUAUAAUAACAUCUUAAUCUAAUCUAAAAACACAAAAGAGUAUGAAGUUUAUAUUUGUUGUUUAUUACAAAAACUAAAAGAUACAAGAUUAUAUGCAAAGAUGAAAAAGUGUGUAUUUUACACUACUUAAGUUGAUUUUUUUGGAUAUAUCAUUUCAAAUGAUGGUCUUAUGAUAGAUUCUAAGAUGAUUCAAACUAUCAUAGAUUAGAAGAUCUCAAAAAUAAUCAAAAAUGUACAAUAUUUUUUGAAAUUUGAAAAUUAUUAUCAAAUCUUCAUCAUGAACUUUUUUCAAGUUGUUGCUCCUCUUAUAUGCCUAACAUAUAAAGACAAAAUUGAAUGGAGGAAAGAAGUUGAAGGAUCUUUUGAAGCCUUAAAGACAUCAUUUAUUUUAGUAUUAAUUUUAUAUUGUGUCAACUUUUUAAAAGCAAUCUUUAUAGAAAUAAAUACAUCAAACUUUGUCAUGGAUGUUGCUUUCUCAUAAAGAGGAGCAAAUCACAAGCUCCAUCUAGUAGUUUUUUAUUCUAAGAAAUUUUCAAUAGCCAAGAUUAAUUUUGAAAUCCAUGACAAAGAGUUUUAUUGCAAUUUUGGAUUUAUUUCAAAAAUGGCAUCAUUAUCUAAAAUUUUCUUCUAGUCCAAUUAUUGUAUAUGAAGAUCACAAGAAUCUUGAAUAUUUUAUGUCAACACAUGUUUUGAAUUAUCACAAAGAUUGUUGGAGCAUGUCUUUAUCAAAAUUUGAUUUUAAGAUUACUUAUCAAUCCAAAAAAAUAAAAAUGUUUGUCAAUGGCCCUUUAUAAACCUUCUUAUCUUACACUAAAAGAAGAAGAUACAACUUUUGAUCAACAAAGAAUAAUUCGCUUAAAACUAGAGCAUUUUCAUCUUUAAACAAUAUAAUCAAUAUUGACUAUUGAUUCAUCUUUUGUCAAACAAAUUCAAUUAAGUAUGUCUUUCAAUCCUCUUCUUCAUGAUAUCAAGAAUAAUUCUUUUAAUUCUCAAAAUACUUUCAAGUUUGAAUUUAAAAAUAAUCUAUUCUAUUUUAAAAAAUAAUUAUAUAUUCUAAAAAGCAAAGCACGAUUACAUAUAUUUUAAAUUUGUUAUAACUUUUUAAUAAUCAAAUAUUUUGGAUAUAAUAAAAUUUUAAAGCUAAUAUUAAGAGAUUUUUGGUGGCUUCAAAUGCAAAAGGAAAUUAAAGACUUUCUACAAUCAUGUUAUAUUUGUUCAGGAUAAAAAACUCCUUGUUAUUGACUUUAUGGACUUUUCUAGCCAUUACCUAUUCCACAACAAUCAAGGUCUUUUGUUUCAAUGAAUUUUAUUAAAAAUAUUUUAAUUUCAAGUUUGUAUGAUUUUAUAUUUAUUAAAGUAGAUCAUUUUACUAAAAUGUCACAUUUUAUACUAUGUAUAAAAUAUAUCACAUGUGAAAAAAAUAGCUAAGCUUUUUCUUAAUAAUAUCAAUUACUAUCAUGAAUUGUCUAAAGAUAUUGUAUUGAAUAAGACUCAAUUUGUAUCAAGAUUUAAGAAAAUUAUUUUAAAUAUUCUAAAGUUAGAUAUAAAGCUUUUUUUGACUUUUUAUUCUUAAAUUGAUAAAUAAAUAGAACAAGUGAAUGAAGUUCUAAAGUAAUAUUUGAAGUAUACCAUCAACUAUCAUCAAGAUGAUUGAACAACUCUUUUGCUAUUGGUGGAGUUUGUAUAUAAUAAUUCAAUAUAUUCUUCUAUUCAACAAAUACAUUCUUUUUUAAUUAUGGUUGUUAUCCAUGACUUGAUACUUUUGACUUUUCAAAAGUUAAUAAUCAUGCAACAAAAGAUUUAGUAAAUUAUUUGUCAAAGCUAUAUACAACAAUGAAGGCAAAAUUAACAAAAAGAUAAAAAUAAUAAAAGAUCAAUGUGGAUGCCUAUUGCAAGGAAAAACUACAAUUUAUUGUAGGUGAUAAGAUAUGACUACUUCAUUGCAUUAUCAAGACUAUUCAUCUUUGUAAUAAGUUGGACUAUUGUAGGCUUUGAUCUUUUUCUACUUAUAAAUAAGUCAAUCUUAUUCCUUAUCAAUUACAUCUACUGGAGUCUAUGAAGAUCUUAUCAUGGACAUAGGCAUGUAAGCCAAUAAUUACAUGUAUAAAUAGGUAUAAGUAAGUAAAAGUAGGUAAAAAUAAGUUAAUUCUAUAAUAUUUGGUAUAGAAGAUUCUUAGAAGCUUCAUACACAUUGCUUUGACUUUAUAGGUGUUUUUAAUUGACUUUUUGGGAUUAAAAACGUGGUCAAUAAGUUGGCCAUGUACCACACAUAUUGUUAGCUUGAAGACCAAGGUAACUAUGUGGCCCACACGUAGAAAAACUUGCCUUGUAAGUCAAGGCAUGUGUCCUACAAAGUCAACACAUAUUGAAGGUCCUGUAGAACAUUGCCACGUAGCCUUUAAUAAGAUAGUAUAUAUAAAGACAAGAGUGAAGCCUUCUUUACUCUUGUCAACUCUUUUCUUGCUUCUAGUCUAGUUUCAAGGGUCUCUAGUUUUCUUUUGGCAAUAGCUAUUCCAGUUUCUUUCUUAAUAUACAUAUUAAGUUAUUUCUAUUUUUUCAUCUUUCUUUGAGAGUAGUCUCACUUAUUUAUUUGACUUUAUCAUGUUUUUGUCCUUGACACAUCUAUUUCAUAUUCUAUAUAUAUAUUUUUUUAGCCAUAUAAAAUAAUGAACAUUUUAAAAUGAAGACAAAUGCUACCACGUCCUAUAAAAGUGGAUAUUAAUCAAGACUUCAAGGUGGAAGAAGAUUUAUAUUCAAGGUGAUGCCAAAAUAUAGUGUCUCAAAAUAUAUUAUUUUAAUGUUGACAUAUUUUAGAAAGAAUAGUAUAUUACAAAUGAAUUGUAGUGAAUAAUGACAUGUGGUUUGUAUAGCAAAUAAAGUAUUCUUUUAUAGCUAUCAAAUGAGCCCAAAUUAAAAAGAAUCCAUUAAAUAAUUAGAAAGCUAUGACCAAUCUAAUUUAGAAUACUAUUAAAAUAAUUUUUUGAAUGUAGGAUCUAAUUUUUGGAUUCUAUCAAUUACUCAAUAUUAUAAUAUUCUAUCAUUAUUAGAUUUACUAUAAAAAUAUUAUUAUUAAUCUAAUAACAUCAUUAAUGCUCACUAGCAGUUAUAAAAGUACCAUUCUUAAUCACAAUUUCUAGUAUGGACGUAUUUCAAAUUAUCACAUUUUAGUACCUUCUAAAAUCUUCUACAAUAUUUUAAAAAAUUCCAUAGGCUUUUGGAAGCCUCUUUAGACUUCUAAAAGCUUCUAUAGAUUUCUAAAAACUUCCAUAGAAAAUACCAUAGACUUUUAUAACCUUCAUUAUAGUAUAAAUAGAAGUUUUUUGAACCACUUUUGCUAUUAAUAUUAUUCUUUGUCUUUAAUCUUGAAAUAUUUCUUUAUCAAAUCCUUGAUAAUUCUUUAAAUAACUUUGAGAUAUAUUUUUUACUCUUUCCAAGACAACAUCACAUCUACACUUCUUUAUUCUCAAAAAUCUUAUGGCCAAAUUGCUUCUGAACUUAGCUGCUAUAAAGCUAUUAUCUCUAGGGUAGCAAAAAAGAUUACUUUUAAUUAGGCAGAUCAAAGAAAUUCACUGCAGUAGAUAAAAAGGCAAUUAUUUUCCAAAUCAACUCUUAAAAGGCUGAAAAUAUUAUUGAGGUUGCUAAAAAAUUUAACAAUAUUAUCAGUAAUCUCCUACCAAUUCAAACCAUUCAAAAUAUUCUUAAGAAAUGGAAUAUGAAAGUUGUUGUGAAAAAAAAAAAAAAAAUCCACUAUUAUUUACUUACUAUUGAAAAUAAUGCUUGGAUUUUGCUUUAAAAUACAAGGAAUGGACUAUGGAAAAUUGGAAGAAGAUUAUUUGAUUAGAUGAAAAAAAAUCAACAGAUUUUGAUCAGAUGGCAAAAAGUGGAUGUAGAAACAAAAGGGUCAAUUCUUACUUGACAAGAAGAUCCAAGAAACAAUUAAGCAUAGAAGUAGAAAUAUAAUAGAAUGAGAUUAUAUGAGAUGGAAUGGAAUUAAAAAGAUAGCAUAGGUUGAGUGAAAUAUGGAUGCCAAGCAAUUUGUAGAAAUUCUUGAAAAAGAAUCUGCUCCCUAAAAUUUAAGAAUCUCGCAUAUAUGAGGAAGAGGUAAAUUUUCAGCAAGAUAAUGACCUCAAGCAUAACUCAAAACUAACAAAAAAGUGGUUUGUUCAUCAUAUGAUUAAAUUAACAAAUUGACAUAUUCAAUCUCUUGAUCAUAAUUCCAUUGAACAUCUUUGGGAGCACCUCAAAUGCCUACUCAACAUUUGGAAGAUAAAAUCAAUGGAAGUUUGGAAAUUAUGAAAAAAAAAAUUGUAGAAUGAAAUAAUAUUGAAGCAAUUUUGUGCCAAAAGUUAAUAAAAAGUAUGUAUAGGAGGUUGGAAGUAGUUAUCAAGGCCAAAGUAGGUCUUACAAAGUAUUGAUAUAUAUUUGGAUACCACAUUCAAAAAAAUAUUUCAAUACUAUUCCAAAUUAGAUUGGUCAUAGUUUUACAAUUACCUAAUGGAUUUUUUUCAAUUUAUACUCAUUUGAUAGCUGUAAAAGAGUAUUUUAUUUCCUAUACAAAUCAUAUCUCAUUAUUUAUUACAACUCAUCUAUAAUACAUCAUUCUUUUUAAAAUAUGUCAACUUUGAAAUAAUUUUUUAAAUCAUUGUAGGUUAGAAUAUCUUGUUCAUUGGCAUGGAUAUGAUAUCAAUGAAUGCGCAUGGGAGCCAACAAGUUUUUUUGCAAAUGCAAAAAAAAAAAUUGAAGCUUUUUAUUAAUAAUAUCCAUUAAAAUCAAGAUUAAGAAUAAAAAAAAUUUAUUAUAAAAGAAACAAGAUUAAAAAAAUAUAGCAUUCUACUUUCUAUUCUUGUUUGUAAUUUUUGUACAUUUGUGAAAUUAAGAAAAUAGAGAAUCAAAAACCAAAAAAUUCAACUCAAGAGCUAUUAUUUAUUGACUUAUCAGAUGAGAUAUUGUAAUUGUUAUAACCUCCAAGAUGACAUAAUCAAGAUAACACAAUCAGAAUGAAGAUCUUUAAGAAUGAUACGUUUUUCUUUGAAUAGAUGGCAAGAUGUAACAUGUUUGGUAUUACAAUAUUAUAAGAGAUUCUUGAUGUUUGGUGGUUUUAUUAGAAAUAAGAAUGACUCUUAAUGGUAUUUUAAAUUUUUUAUUUGAAAAAAAUUACAAAGGCCUCAACAAUUUUCAAAUAAUAUGGUGGUCUUUUUUGCCUUGAUAUGAAAUACUAUCAAUGGUUGAAAAGACCUAUCAACCAUCUUCAAAGAGAACAAAGAUCACAGAAUGUGGUAAUCACAAUUUGUCACAUUUUGGAUUUCUUCAAUAUGUGAUAAUUGCUCCUUGUCGAUUUUAUUUCCAAAAAAAGAGAUAAUAUCAUAGACAUACAUAUUUAUUUAUAUGAUUAAAUAAAAGUUGAUAGAUAUAAAAUUAUUUCAUAAUAUGUUUUAAAAAAAAUUCCUAGAAGCUUUAUAAAUGUUGCUUUGAUUUUAUAUAUAUUUGUAAUUAAUUGGUAGGUUAGAAAAUUGUUCAAUAAAUUAACCAUAUCUUGAUAGCUUACAAAACAAGCUAAUUAUAUAGUGCACAUAUAAAAAACUUGCCUUGCAAGUUAAGAUAUGUGUCUUACAAAGUCAAUAUGUUUUGGAGGUCCUAUUAGGCAUUGCUACAUAACUCUUAUUUAAGAGCAUAUACAAAGGCAAGAGUGAAGUCUUCUUCAUUUUGAUUAAUGCCUUUCUUAUCUUUCAUCUUGUUUCAAAACUUUCUGAUUUUCUUGUCUUUGAUAAUAUUCAUUUUAGUUUAAUGUUAUAUCAUCUUUGAGUGAUUUUUUAAUUCUUUUGAGUGACAUAAGAGUGUAUUUAGGAUUUCUUUCUUUGAAUUUCAUGUCCUUGAUAAUUUGAAAUUGUUAUAGAUCUUCAAAAACUUGUCAAUAUUCUAAAAUUAGAAAUCUCAUAUAUUUUCAAUAUGAAUUAUGAAGUAUUAUUUUUACGCAUAUGGAACAAAUUAACAAUGAAGUUCAAAGUCUAUGCCAAGAAGAAAGAUCAAGCUUAUAACUAAAUCCAAUUUUUUUUUGCUACUACAAGUAUAAUAGAAGCAAUAAUAAAUAUGGUCAAGAAAUUUGAUGGAAAAAAAUCAAAGUUUUAAGGAAUUCUACAAAAAUAUAAAAUUCUAAGGUUGCAUCUUUUCUAAUAACUUGAUUGAUUUACUCAAAUUGGAUUCAUUAAAGUCUUUUUUUUUACAAAUGUUAUUGUAUUAUAUGAAGUCUAUUUAAUAAUUUACCAGAUACAUUGUUGUAGAAAAAAAAAAUAGAACUUACAACAAGAUGAUCCUAACAACUCUAAUAAAAUCCUUAAAAUAAUUUAAUUAAAUUAUAAAAAUAUUAACCAAUCUUUAAUUAAAUCCACAAAAAGUUUCAAGAACUUACAAAAGAAAUAUAAAAAAAUCAUAAAUUAAUCUUAAUAAAAUACAUACAAUAAAAAAAUCUUAAAAAAUAUCAAAAUAAUAAAUCUUAAUUGAAUUUUAAUUAAAUACUAAUGUAAUCUUCCAAAAUUUUAAUAAAAUUUUAGACUAAUUUCAACCAAAACUUUAAUGAAAUCCUAAAUUUUUAACAAAUCUUAAUCAAAUUUUAAACAAAUUUUAAUCAAAUCUUAAUCAAAUCUUAAUCAAAUCUUUAAAAAAUCCUAAUAAAAUCCUAAGUAAAUCUUAAAUUCUAAUCAUAGAUCAAAUUCUAAUAAAAUCAUAAUAAAUCCUAAAAAAAUCCUAAAUCUUAACUUCAGACCAAAUCCAUAUGAAAUCUUAAACUUUAAACAACUUAAGAAAAUUUCAAAUAAAUUUCAUUCGAUUAUUAUAGCUAAUUGAAACCUCAAUAAAUAUUAAUUGAACCAUAUAUCUUGACUAAAAUUUUACUUAUACUUCAACCAAUAAACAAUUAAGAAACAUAUAAAAUUUAAAAAGAAUCAAACUUAUCAAUUAUAAGAAAAGCUUCCAAAACUUCUUAGUUAUUGAUGGCCUUUCUUCUCCCACUUGAAUGCUGAUCUUUUAACAUUGAUUUUUCCUUAUUGAAUCAAUUUAUUUUUCCAAAUAUUGGAUUUUAUGUAUAUAUUCAAGUCUUAAGUGCUUUCACCAAAUUUUGCUUCAAUUUAAUCAGCUAAUAUUGAUAGAUAUUGAAAUCAUUUGCUAAUCCUAAAUCUCAUUUUUUAAAAACUAUAAUCCAUAAAAAUUAUUAUAUUCUUCAAUCUAAUAUCUUCAUUGACUUCAAACAUUUCACAUACAUUUACAACAAGUACAACAAAAAAAAUUCCAAUUUUUAUUAAUACACAUACUAUAAAACUCACAAAAUCUUAAAAUUUGUAAAUUUAUUUUACUUUUUAAAAUAUAAAUCUAUCAAGUACAUCAUUAACUUUGAAAAGCCCUCAAAAUAUCAAUAUUAAUUUUAAUAACAUGAAACCAACACUCAAACCUCUUCUCUCAAGUGUGCUUUCAAAGCUUAUUCUUUAAUUUGCAAAAAAAUGUGAAGUCAUUGUAGGUGCUCGAUUUUUUGCCUUGGAGUCUAAUUUUGACCUUGGUUAUCAAUUGAUCCUCUACAAGUAUCAAUUCUUAUCUUCUUAAGGUAAUUUUUUCUAAUAUCAACUUCUAAUUUUUUUUUAUAUAUGUCUAUAUUCUUGAUUUCUCUUAUCUAUCUUAUUUUGCCUUAUUUAUGGUUCUAUAAAAUAAAUAGAAAUCAUUUUUAUAAAAAAUAAUUCUAAUACUAAUAGAUUUUAUUACUUGCCUAUCAUUUAUCUAUAUUUUUACUAUAUAUUUUUAUUUAGGUUCUUCUAUAAUAAAAUAUUUUCCUUCUUCUUUCACUUUAUGGCCCUAUUAUUAUACAAUAGUGCUCUUUCUUCAUUUGUACCUUUGAUAGAAAAAGAUUCAUGGCUAUUUAUGAUCUGAAUUUAUUUUUAUAAGUAUUUAUGGCUAUAUUUAUAAAAAAAAUUUGAAAAAAGGUAGCAAAGUACAAGCUUGUAUCUCUACAAUAAAGAUCAUAUUUAGCCACUACAUAUAUUGUUGAAUUUCAAAAUCUUACUUAUGACGUGGAUUGGAAUGAUAAAGCCAUUAUUAAUCAAUUUUGAUAUAAAUUGAAAGAUGAUAUUAAAUAUUUAUUUUUGAUAAUACCAAUAAUAGAUUUAUUAGAGUAAAUUAUUACUCAAGUCAUUGUAUAUGAUAAUUAGUUUUUUAAAAGAUACUAAAAAUAAAUAUUUGAUUAAAGAUGUACAAAUUAAGCCAUAGAAAUGUUUUUAAAAUUUUUGAAAGCUUAUUUAUUAAGGCUAGAGUCUAUGCAAAUUGACAAGGUAAAUUUUAAACCUCUUACUGAGCAAGAAAAGAUUUGUCAUUGUUAAGAGAGUUUAUACUUAUAUUGUGUAGAAGCUAGGCACACUACUUAAUAUUUUCUAAAGAAGCAACGCAAUCACAAAAUAAAGAGCAUGGUUGCCAAAGAAAACAAUAUGUUGUAAAAUAAAUUUUUCUAGCUACAAUGAUGACCAUGCAACUGGAAUCAUGUACAACACUUAGUACAAGUCUUAUUCUUUCAUUAGAUCUCUCAUCUUUUUUUACAAUAGAUAUAUAUUUAGGACCAAAAAAUCACAAAUUCUUAGCUUUGUUAGAUUAAAGAGCCUUAUUAUGUUUUAUAGACAAAUAUUUUGUCAAAAAAUAAGAAAUAUUUUUAGUUAAAAAAAACCAAACUUGUAUAUGUAAAAGUAAUAGAUAAUUUCUUUUGUAGCUAUAAAAAAAGACUCAAUUUUUGUUAUAUAUGCCACACCUAUUAUUGUUGAAAAAAAGAUUUUAAAUAAUAUUUCAAGCCAAUAUCAAGAUUAUUAAGACAUUUUGAAAAGAAAAAUAUAGAUACUCUUUUUAAACAUUAUCCUUAUGAUUAUUUUAUUUAACUUCAAGAAAAAGCUCAACCACAAUUUAUACCAAUCUAUAACCUAUCAUAGAAUAAGUUGGAUGCACUCAAGGAGUAUAUUGAUGAGAAUUUGGCUAAGAAUUUCAUAUGCUAUUGUAUUCUAUGAAGUCUUGCUCAAGAAUGCAUCAGUCACCUAGCUAUAGAAGAUAAAAUCAAAAUUACUACAACAAAAUCUUAACUCUAAUAGAAUACUAAAUAAACUCUAAUUAAAUCUUACUAAUGUUAAACAAGAUUUGAUCAAAUUUAAAAGAAAAUUUAAAGUAAUUACAAUAGAAAUAAUAAGAAAUCUUAAUGGGAUUAAAAGAAAAUCCUCCAUAAACCUUAAAUUUUUUUUAAAGAAAUCCUAAAAAUAUUAGAAUAAUUACAAAUAUAUCUUAAAUAAAUCUCAAAAAAGUUCCAAUUUAAUCCUUGUUGAAAUCUUAAUGAACUUCAAUCAAAAUCUAAACAAAUCCUAAAUUCUAAACGAAAUUCUAGACAAAUCCUAAACACUAAAACAAAUUCUAAAAAAAUCCUAAAUCCUAAAUCAAAUCCUAGAAAAAUUCUAAACCAUAAACCAAACCUUAGAAAAAUCUUAAAUCCUAAAUCAAAUCCUAAACUAAAUCCUAAUUCUAAAGCAAAUCGUAACCAAACCUUAAUCAACUCAAUCUAAUUCUAUUACUGUUUAAAACCUUAAUAACUAUCAAUUGAGUUAUUGAUAUUGCUUAAAAAUUUACAUACUUCUCAAAAAUUAAAUUAGUAAUAAGUAUAUGAAAUUUGAAGAUAAUCACAUAUACCAAAGGGAAGAAAAAUCUUAAAAUUUUCUCGAGUAUUGGUUGGCCUCCUACUCCAAUCUAAAUGUUGAAAUUCCAGUGCCAAUAUCUCUCUUUUAAACCAAUUAAUUGUUCUCAAAUUUCACAUAUGUAUAACAAAUCAAGUCUAUUACUUUUAUAAAUAAAUUUUACUCCGAUUCAAGUAGUAGAUUGCUAAAGAUCUUAGAAACUCUAACUGCCUUUUAAAGUCCAAUUUUUGAGAUCUCAACCUACUUGAAAUUCAAUAACCUUCAAUUCAAUAAUUUUAUCAAGCUCAAACUUACAGCAUAUACUCUAGACAAUUAUUUUUAUAAGUCUUCAAAUUUUGAAUCAUAGAUCUAUUACCAAAUUCAUGAAAUUCUCUAAAUUAUUAUAUCCUUUUUUAUUUCAUAGAUUCUAUAGUCACCUAAAAGAAGUGUGACUUUACAAAGCUCUUACAAAAUCAUUACAUACUCAAAUCACUUAAAAUCAUGCCUAAAGAAACUUUUUUAAGUCUAUUCCUUAAUCCUACUUAUUGAUCUGCAAAAAAAUCCCCAAAUUACUAUAGGUACCUAAUUUUAUGCCUCAAGGUCUGAUUUCAAUCCAUAUUGAUAACUGGUCCUCUCCAAGUAUCAAAUUUUGCCCUUUUGAGUUAAUUAUUGCUAAAAUCAAUUCUUUACUUCCUUAUACUUAUGCUCAUAUUCUUUAUUUUUCUAAUCUACUUUGUUUUUUUUUUAUUUAUUUAUUUAUGAACUUACUAAGUAAAUAGAAGCUUACUUUGUAAAAAAGUAGCAUUUACAUCUUUAAUUUUACCUUCUUUUUGGACUAUUGUCUAUUUUUUAAGAUAAAUUGUUAUAAUAUUUGAAGUAAGAUCUUCUAUAAUAUAAUAAUUUUUUCACCCUUUUUACCUAUUAGUCAUAUUAUAUCAUGACAUUCACCCCCUAAACUUGUGCAUCUUCCAACAUGUGCCAAUGAUUCUUUAAUAUAUUAUUAAAGUAUUCUUUAUCAUGGUUAGAUUCUUGAUCUUCAAUUUUCUCUUCUUCUUCUAUCUUAUUGUCUUGUAAUGGAUUUUAUUCUUCGUCAAAAUUAAUAUUUUUAUCUCUUUGUUUAAAUAACUUGAUUAUCUUCUUUACUAUAGGUAUCUUUAUUUUUGUACCAUUAAGUUCUUAUAAAAAGUAUGUUCUAUUGUUGUAUACUUAUUUGACAACAUAAGGCCUAAACUAUCUUCUUGUAAAUUUUUUUAUCGUGCUAUAUUGGUUGUCCAAACUACUAUCAUAAACCAACAUCAAAUCAUCAUUUUGAAUUAGUUUUGGAUAUAAUUGAUGUUUUUUGUCAAAUCUUUCUUUGUUUUUCUCCUUUUCCUCUUUGAACUUCUUUAUAGCUUUCUCAAUGUCCUCAAAUUUUCUUUUAAGUUGUCAAGUUUGUAAUGCUAAUAAUUCUUUUUUUCUUAAACCAUCUUCUUGAGGUAAUAUAUUCUAUAUUGGCAUCAUUGAUUUUUGUCCAUACAUCAAUUCUGCUACCAUGUAUCAUAUAAUUGUACUAUGAGUUAUGUGAUUCGUCUAUAAUGCAAAUGAUAAUAACUUAGGCCAAUCACCUAUCUUGCCUUUGCAUACUUUAAUCAAUGCUUUAACAAUUGGAAAGUGUCCACAUUCACUGUUGUUAUUUUUUUUUAGAUUAUAUGUGGUUGUUACUACGACUUUAAUACCCAUCUUCUCAAAGAAUUCUCCUACUUUAUUUGCAUCUAAUUUCCUUCUAUCUAUAGUAAUUUUUCUAAUAUAAUCAUAUUGACAAAUAAUUUCCUCUAAUAUAAACCGAUAUACCUCUUCCAAAGGCUUUGUUCAAAAUGCUCUUCCCUCCACUUGAUUUAUCAAAUUCUCUUCAGUAAGUAUCAAAUAUUUCUUUUGUCCAAAUUCCAUUGGUAUUACAACUAAAUCAACUAUCAAUUUCUAGUGAAUUGCUAAUGGAUAUGUUGGAUGCAAUCCAUCUCAAUGACAAAUGUUUGAAUAUAUUUGACAAAUCUCACUAGAUCCUAUAAAAUCUGCCAUAUUUUUAUAUAUGCCCUUUCACCAAUAUUUUUCUUUUACCUUUGCAAAUAUUGCCCAAAUGCCUCAAUAUCCGGCCUAUCAACUUUCAUGAAAUUCUUUAAUGAUAUUUAGUUGAGUAUGAUAGCUACAUAUAAUCCAUUGUGGCACUCCGCUCCUUUGCUUUGGAUGCUUCUAUAAAAAUCCAUCUUUAAAAAAAUAUCUAUAAGCUUUCCUCCAAAUUCUUUUAAACUUAUAAUUUGCCAAAUCUUCUUGCUGCUUUAAUGUACUUAAGUACUUUUUAAUAUGCAACCAUUCACCAUCAUAUAACUCUUUUGAAAAUAAUUCAAGUAGUUUAAUUAAAUACAACUCAUUCCUUCUUGCACACAAAGUUGAAUAAAAGUCCGUGCCAAUAUUUUCUUCAUCAUAUCAUGCUCAUGACAACAUGUCUGCAAGCACAUUAUCUUUUUUAAAAAUAUGUUUGAAUUCUGGAUUCAUAGACUUUAUUUAUAUAAUCCAUCUUAACAUUGAUAUAUCUGAUGUAGAAUAAUUACUAAUCAUGCCUAAUAAGCAUAAACAAUCUAUUUCUAUAGCUAACAAUGUAUCAAUCAAGUAUUCUUUUUUAUUUUUCAUAGCCAUUACUAUACAUUAUAAUUUUUUUUUAACUUGUGCAUAUACCUUCUGCUUAGCAUUCAAAAUCUUUGCUUUAAAUCUUACUACAUAUUUAUUUCUUUGUUCAUCAUCUUGUCUAACUAUUCAACCUAUUUCAAUUAGACUCAUAUCAACUGUUAAUAUCACUGACCUUCGACAUUCAUAAUUUACUUUCUUCAAAGUUAGAGGUGAAGAAAGAAGUUCUUUCAAUUUUUUCAUAGUUUUUUUUUGUUUCCCUUUCUAAUGAAAUUUUUGAUUCUUUUGUAACAACUCAUCUAAUGGAUCUGCUACAUAUGCAAAAUGAGAUAUUCAUAUAUAAUAAAAAAUACAUGCUCCUAAAAACCUUCAAAUUUCCGUUGUGUUUAUGCAUUCUUUCAACUUUUUAAUAAUAUUAAUAUUUUUCAUACUUGGCUUGCGUCCAUAUCAUCCACACAUGUAUCCUACCACCAAAACUUUUUUUUAUCCCAAAUAUUGAUUUUGUCCCUGAUAAGAUUAAAUAAUUUUUUUCUAAUCUUGUCAAAAUCUUCUCAUAAUCAUCAAUAUGAUUUGCCACAAACUUCCUACAUCCUAUUGAAUCCAAUAUCUCAUCUUUUUUUUCUUCUUAACAUCCUUUAAUAGUACAUCAUCUAAAAAAUAAAUUAUUAUUUUUAAAAUAAAUUCUCUUAAUAUCUUAUAUAUUCUAUUCAUUAUGUGUGCCAUAGAAUUUGUAACCCCUUGAGGUAAUAUACACAUUCUGACUAAUCCUAAUGGUGUCUUUACAAUUGUUAAAUUCCUACUUUGCAUUGCUAAUUGAAAUUACUCAUAAUCUAAAUAAAGAUUACUUAUUAAAUAGAUAGCUCUUCUAGCAAAUGCUUCUACAAAUUCAUCCAUAAUUGGACUUGAAUCCAUAUUUCUAAUAGUCACUUUAUUCAUAAGUUGGAUGUCUUAUAUAAAUCUCAUUGUUUUAUUUUUCUUUGGCACUAUAAAUCAUCAAUUAAAAUAGGAUACCAUUGAUAGUUCUAAAAUCCUCAUUUUAAUUUUUUUAUUGAGUAAAUCUAUUAGCUUAGAUAAAUGUGCUCUUGGUACUAAAAUUAGUCACAAAUUUCAUAGUUCAUGAGGAAUAGUAAAAAAAACCAUAGGUGUUGCAAUACUUAGAUCGACAUAUCUAAUUUCAUGUGCCUCCAAUGCAGAAGCCUUUCUAUGUCGUCUAAGGAUAUCUUUAAAAUAUAUUUUUUCAAAUUUUGUCAAAAAUCCAUCAUAUCCAACAUUUAAUCCAUGUAAUGUAGUAUCCGUAAAUUCAUGCCCUAUCUUCCUACGAUCCUUUAAAUUUAGUUGUGUAGAUGCUCCAUUUAUCCUUUCUUCAUAAUCUGGUAGUAGUGGCAAAGUCAUUGGUUUGACAUUUUUUGCGAUUGAUUAUACUUAAUUUCAACAUAUUGUUGUGACGUAAUAUGACUAUAUAGAGAAAUUAUAAUCAAAAUUAAAUUUUUAAUUAAUAUGUAAUUAUCUUAGUUCAAUUAUAAUUUUAGGUGUAUAAACAUGGCUUUCAUAAAAGCCUCUUAGGUUAUUUUCUUAUCUUAAUAGUUAAUAAGUUGAAAGUUGGUUAGUAAUUUUACCUUCUAGAUUGUAGAGACACUUCUACUACCUUAAAAAGCCCAUAAAUUGAUAAAAUCAGGUUAAAAGAGGUAAAUAAUUAAUAUAGUUGGUACUAGGAUUAAGUUGAAAGUAGGGUUGGACUAAAAAAUCUUUAGGAUAGGUUAAAUUGAUACCCGGGGGUCGGCCAUUUGUGAGACAAGGUUGAAAUCAGACCUCUCACCACAAAAAUGACGGCCUAGGGCAAAAUAAGGAUUCACUCAAAGAUCGAAGGAUAGUAUUUGAGAGCUAGCUUGAAGUUCUUUCUAGAGACAUAAGGAUUUUUUUUGGAAGGUUUUUGAAAAUUGAGAAAUUGUUCAAAGUCAGGGUUUGUAUUGGUGAUUUGGGUUUUAUAGAAUAUAACUAGGGAUAGCAAUUUUGGCUAGUUCAUGUAAUUAGUCUCACAUCUAUGGUUGAAAAUUUGGUACUAUUUGGAUUAUUAGGUGUGCUAAGUGUAUACAAAAUUUUGUGAUAAUCUAAUGGCGUGCUUUAGAGAUAUCUAGUUUUUAGUGUAAGAGGGUUUUGGAAGUUGGCAGUUUAAGGUUGGGUAGGAUUUUUGUGAUAUAUGGAGAUCAAUGAAAUGGAUUAAGGUGAAAUUUUGCAUGGUAUUGAAGGACUUGAAGAUCAAAUUGCACACCAAUUUUGAGUCAAAGUUAAUGGUUGGAAAGGGAGAAAUCACUACUGGGAUUUCUACUUCACUUUUUAAGUUGGUGGCCAAGUGACAUCAGUGCAAAUUUCGGAGGUUUUCUCACAAUUUAUAAGUUGGAUUGGGCUAAAAAUUCUUGAGCAUAUAGAAGACUUACAUUGACUAUUGCAUGCAAAAUUCCACAUCAAGUGGACGGUCGGAUUGGAUGUUAUAGCUUAUGAAAGCUCACUAAUUAUAGUUGGGGCUUAUAAGAAAAAUCUAAAUUACUUAAAUAUGAAAGUAACAAGAUAAUUGGGAUUUAUGUAUGAUUAAGGCUAAUAAGAAGAGUAUUUUUAGCACUUUUGAAUUGAAAUUCAAAUUAUAUUCUUCUUGUAUGGAUGAAACCUAUUAGGAUUCUUGAAUUCUUGUGAAACACAACCUCACCUUCCACAGUUAGGUGCCUGAUGCAUUCCCAAGGAAGACAACACAUAAUAUGAUAAUAUACCUCUUGGCAAUUUAAAUUUUCUAUAAAUCUAUAGAUUUCAUCAUAAAAUUCUUUAGAACAUACAUUAAUACAUUUAUUCUCUCCUUGCAAUCUAUCUUGCGACAAAUAAUUUAAUUUUCCCAAGAUAUCUGCAAAUGCCACUUCUUCAAAUGUUCCUAAAAUAAAUUCAUUUUCAAUCAAUUCUCCAUUUUUUUUUUCCAAUUUUUGCUCAAUAUUUUUAACAUAUUGUUUAUCCAUCUUCUUCAUCUUAUCAAUAUUCUUAAAAGAUAAUACACAAUUUGGUGUCAACUCAAUCAGCCUAGUAAAUAAUAUUUUCUUUUUAUACUUAGAGGGAGCAUCUUUUUUCUUAACCCAUUGCAAUCUUGUUUUAUAAUGGUGUGGUGAAAAUCCCUCACAUGUUCACCUCUAAAUUCUCUAGUAACCUUUGGCAAAGGUUGCUCUCUCAAACUCCCACAAUUUUUGUCAUGAUUAGCACAUACUGUCCAAAAUUGCAUCAUUUUUGUUCUAUCUUGAUUCCAAGCAUAUGUCAAUCUAUUGUCCUUAAUCUUUGUUUCCAUGCAAGUAGCCGUAAUAUAAGGUUUUUUUAGAAUGAUAGGAUAAGUAGACAUAUCUUGCACAAAGAAGUUUUUCUCAUCACUAAUAUCUCCUAUUAUAACCUAUUAUAUUGAGAAAAGACAUCCUUCUAGAGUGGAUCUCACUGAAAACUUAAGACAUAUGUGCCCUAAGGUCAUGGUCGAAUGUCUCAGCUGUGGGGCAAAGAUCCCAAUGAAGUCCAGCCUGAGCGAUGCCUUGAGGGUAGUAUAUUCAUCCCUGUAUCUCCAUCAGUAUUUCCUGCUUUCCAGGCUUGUAAUUCGUGUCCUGCCUUAUCCCCAGUCCAGAUAGGUGCAUAAACUUUCUUCUGGGUGAUAAGUAUAUUGACUGAUGCCGAACAUUUGCACUGUUUAGCCAGGCUGGUCCUCGCAUCUGCAUUGGCAUCAAAUCGGCGGCCUUGCAUAUGAAGAUGGCCACGGCAGAUUUUUAUGUCGGUUGUCAAGUUCAGAAUUGAUGCGUGGUCACCCUGUGGAUUGCCAACCGACCGCCAACUUUUCCAUACAAAAAAGAACUGCACUGGGUAGAGAGAAGGCAAUGUUUAAAUAAAUGUGUCCCUCGUUUGUUUCUACCCCGCCUUCAUCACAAUAACAAACUUCGUGUGUAUCAGAAUUAGUUCGGAGUUAUGAAAUUUGUAUCUUCAAGCACAAAAAUAGUUCGUGAAAAUCUAACAAAUUUUUAUUUUAUUUAUUUAAUUAUUAAUAACUUGAAUGUGAAUACUAGAUAAUGCUCUCCAGCUUGUAAAUGUCCAUUGUUUAUAUUUUCAAUAUUUAUGUAUACGUGCCAUUCAUUAUACGUAUAUUGAAAAUAUUUAUGUAUACGUGCCAUAUACAAAAGCAUUAUUAAUUGUUGAUUCAGGGUAAUUUAAAAUUAGCAUAUGCUUGGAAGACAACAUAUACUAAAUAAUCCGUACACGGGUUUAGGAACUUACCUCUCAACUGCAAUACAUCGGAGCAAAAGAUGGAUAGCAGAAUAAAAAAGGUGGUUUACGGUGUGUGCUAUACCAAAGCUAUCAGAACUAGGGAAUUAAUUAUAGGGGACUCCCAUUGAAUUUACUGUGAAGGGAAACACUUGAACCUAUGACAAACAUAGAUGAGGAUGCAAUACAAGCUAAUCUUAUCAAAGUCCUCUAAUACUUAAUUACAGCUGGAUCAUAUUUGCUAAAAAUGAAAUAAUGAAUUUAUAGAACCAGAAUGUCCGGGAAAAAAUACGAUUCUAACAUUAUCUGACAUUGCCAACGAAGAAGCUUAAUCAUUCUAAGCAUUCUAGGUAAUGCUGAUCUUGACCAAUGUCAAUGCUUCGACCUACACAAAUAGUCUACAAUAAAUACCUGCUUUCAAUUACCAACUAAAAAAAAAAAAAUCCAGUGGGAGACACAACAGCAAAUGAAUUCAGAAGCCCUCAAUAUCCGUUCUGAGACAACAACACAGAUAUGUAUAUGUACACGAUUAUUCGUCUGAUAACCAACAUCCGUUCUAUCGAGAUUGUGAAGAAUCAACGAGGUGCUUAAGAGUGCAAGGCAUCUUGUUCCACAUAUUCGGUUAGCACAAAUUUUUAGAAGUCAGCCUCAUGAAAGAUAAAUCAAAAGAAACAGCAGGAACCACUUACGUUAAUUGUCAAGAACUCACACUUCCCAACAUCUUCCACAUCCCACCACCAGCAUUCGCAGGUUGAUGGAAGACGUUACGAGCCCACCUCAUGUAAUGUGGGCCACAAAGCCGACAACCCUCAUCUGACAAAGCAAUGCCCCAAGACAAUCUGUACAAAAGGGAUCAAUGCCAUCAUGUAACCGUGCCAUAAAAAAGAUCUUCCAACUUGACUCAUUCAAACCCUGCGAUUCCAUAUAUCCUUGUAAUCAACCAGGUGUCAGACAACGACAUCACAGCCAGCACGCGCAAUAAAAAGUAGGCCACAACUAUAUUCCAAGCAUAAUCGAGUAGCUGACAAAUGCAAACCAACGAACUUACCCCAAACGGCUUACUACGGCAGUACCCUGAAACCGUCAAAUUUUCCAAGGAAACUAUAACAAAGAAAUGUGUGUAUUUAUAUGAAUGCUCCACAGGCUUGAAAUUUUCAAACUACAUUGUACAUAGGACCAACCAGCAAAACUAAGGAUCAAUGUGUCUUCCUAAACCAACUAGAAGUACAUCGAGGAUUCCUUCCAACAAGAAGACCUACUGCAACUGAUCAAGCUCAACAAUGUCUGCACCACAUAUCACUUCCACCUCCUCCGUCUCCUACUCUCCAUUACCCAUCCCCCCUUCCACCCUCCAUUCCAAUCAUCACCAUCCACAUCCACAACUCUCUGCACGCCAAAAUGUAAUUCUCCAAUAAAUAUAACCAUAGCACCACCUCGUCCCUAAAUCUGUUCAGAAUCUAGUGAUUACCGUAUCUCUCUCCAUGGUGCACAUCUUAACCAUGUAGUCUCCACUACUUUACUACACAACAGAGUUCUGAAAAAAUCAAGUGGUAUCGGACAUUCCAAUUCCUACGCAACCAAAAUAAACACAGAAGACCGCCUCCUACCCACUGCUUCCUCUAACUCUCGGCCCUCCCCCUCCUCCCCUACCCCUUCUCCUACACCACACCUACUGGCAGGUCACUCCAUUCCCAUCCGACCACUCGAUCGGCUCCUCGCCGCCUGUGGCUCCACAUUUCUGGACCAUGGUCAUGCAGCCAAAAUCCUGCCGCCUUUACUUUAACACUAGGUCGACACGCCUGCGCCCAUCCCAACACAAUCCCAUCGUCAGCCCCGCAACACAAAUCCCGCCACAAAUCACCCUCCCACCACCACUUCCUUCACGCAUCGCACGCACCUACUACCCGCCCCACAUCUCUACCCAUCAUGCGCUACCUCGACACCGCUCUUACCACUACUCUCCACCAUCU